GACGAACGCUGGCGGCGCGCUUAACACAUGCAAGUCGAGCGAUGAAAUUUCGACAGAUCCCUUCGGGGUGAAGAUGAAAUGGAUUAGCGGCGGACGGGUGAGUAACACGUGAGUAACCUGCCUUUGACAUUGGGAUAGCCUCGGGAAACUGGGAUUAAUACCAAAUGACACUAACUGAUCACAUGAUCAAUUAGUCAAAGAAAUUCGGUCAAAGAUGGACUCGCGGCUGAUUAGCUAGUUGGUGAGGUAACGGCCCACCAAGGCGACGAUCAGUAGCCGGCCUGAGAGGGUGAUCGGCCACAUUGGAACUGAGACACGGUCCAAACUCCUACGGGAGGCAGCAGUGGGGAAUAUUGCACAAUGGGGGAAACCCUGAUGCAGCGACGCCGUGUGAGCGAAGAAGGCCUUCGGGUCGUAAAGCUCUUUUAUGAGGGAAGAUAAUGACGGUACCUCAAGAAAAAGCCCCGGCUAACUACGUG
rnacentral:rRNA from 1 species